CCAACACCUCAUUCAAAAUCCAAUUCACAAAAUCAUCCAACAUCACAAUCAAAAUCAAGUCACAAGAUCACUGAUCACCCAAACACUCAACAUCAUAAAACUACAACAAAAUCACCACAAAAUCUAUGUGCCUAACUUACUGCAAUAAGGACCAUUUCAAUUUUGCAACUUGAAAUUGAUUCACAUGAGAUUGUACUCUAACAAGCGAUUUUCUCACUCCACGAGCUGAUCUCAUUUACAUUCAAAGGUAAAAUCCUACCAGCCAUGCCCAGUUAACCAAGAACCCCUUUUCUCUGUCUCUAGAAGAAUCAAAUCAUUCAAGCUUACUAAAUGACCCCGAAUUUAUACCCACGAAAAUUGGUUUCUCUUCAAUCAAAUCGUGGGCUUGAGUCAUUAUGUGAGAAACCAAGCUGCUCAUGGUAAAGAUUUCAACAACGACAAUGGAGAUGGUGCGGGCUCUUUUGUGGGAGGAGGCUUAUUUCUGGGUACUACCGCGCGACUAGGACAUUUUGCAAGGGCCAUCGUGAGUCCAGUGUUGACAAUAGGACUUGCAAAAGUGACAAGGCUAUGACAUGUUGCAGUUGUUGUAGCACAACUUUGAUAGUGGGCGGCGAUCGACGGUAAUAAGGUUG
rnacentral:lncRNA from 1 species